rnacentral:lncRNA from 1 species
AUGGGUCAGACCCCGUUUGGACCCUAUAUGGACCCUAUAUGGACCCCAUAUGGACCCCAGACCCCAUAUGGACCCCAUAUGGACCCCAGACCCCAUUUGGACCCCAUAUAUAGCCCUUAUGUACCUCAGACCCCAUCCAGACCCCAUUUAGACCCUAUAUAUACCCCAUACGUACCCCAUAUGUACCCCAGACCCCAUCCAGACCCCAUUUGGACCCUAUAUGGACCCCAUAUGGACCCCAGACCCCAUCCAGACCCCAUUUGGACCCUAUAUGUACCCCAUACGUAUCCCAUAUGUACCCCAUACGUACCCCAUAUGUACCCCGGACCCCAUCCAGACCCCAUUUGGACCCCAUAUAUAACCCUUAUGUACCCCAGACCCCAUCCAGACCCCAUUUGGACCCUAUAUAUACCCCAUACGUAUCCCAUAUGUACCCCAGACCCCAUUUGGACCCCAUAUGUACCCCAUAUGUGCCCCAUUCGGACCCCAUAUGUACCCCAGACCCCAUCCAGACCCCAUUUGGACCCCAUAUAUACCCCAUAUGUACCCCAGACCCCAUUUGGACCCCAUAUAUACCCCAUAUGUACCCCAGACCCCAUCCAGACCCCAUUUGGACCCUAUAUGUACCCCAUAUGUGCCCCAUUCGGACCCCAUAUGUACCCCAUAUGUACCUCGGACCCCAUCCAGACCCCAUUUGGACCCCAUAUAUACCCCUUAUGUACCCCAGACCCCAUCCAGACCCCAUUUGGACCCUAUAUGUACCCCAUACGUAUCCCAUAUGUACCCCAUCAUAUGGGGGGUACCCCAUUCUCCAUCCCCCAUCACACCCCAUCCACACCCCAUAUAUACCCCUUAUGUACCCCAUAUGUACCCCGGACCCCAUCCAGACCCCAUUUGGACCCCAUAUAUACCCCAUAUGUACCCCAGACUCCAUCCAGACCCCAUUUGGACCCCAUAUUUACCUCUUAUGUACCCCAUAUGUACCCCAUUCUCCAUCCCCCCCAUGCCCCAUCACACCCCAUAUGCACCUCAAGCCCCAUCCACACCCCAUAUAUACCCCAUAUGUACCCUAUAUGUACCCCAUAUGUACCCCAUUCCCCAUCCCUACCCCCCCAUACCCCAUCCACACCUCUUAUGUACCCCAUAUGUACCCCAUUCUCCAUCACUACCCCACCCCAUACCCCAUAUGCACCCCAUUUGCACCCCAUAUGUACCUCAUUCCCCAUCCCCACCCCAUAUAUAACUCUAUCCCCACCCCAUAUAUAA